rfam:Firmicutes bacterium CAG:272 genomic scaffold, scf322
CAGGUCUCCCGUAACUGACGGAAGCAGAUAACUGCAUGGGAACGGGGAAUAAGACUUUGCCGACCGUCUGGGCUCGUGAG